rnacentral:rRNA from 1 species
AACGAACGCUGGCGGCAGGCUUAACACAUGCAAGUCGAACGAUGUAGCAAUACAUAGUGGCGCACGGGUGAGUAACGCGUGGGAACGUGCCCUUUAGUUCGGAAUAACAGUUGGAAACGACUGCUAAUACCGGAUACGCCCUCGGGAAGGAUUAUCGAGAGAGAUCGCCGCGUCUGAUUAGGUAGUUGGUGGGGUAAGUGGCCCACCAAGCCGACGAUCAGUAGCUGGUUUGUAGAGGAGUGAUCAGCCACACUGGGACGUGAGACACGGCCCAGACUCCUACGGGAGGCAGCAGUGGGGAAGUCUUGGACAAUGGGGGAAACCCGUACGAUCCAGCCAUGCCGCGUGAGUGAUGAAGGCCCUAGGGUCGUAAAAACUCUUUCGCUGGGGAAGAUAAUGACGGUACCCAGUAAAGAAACCCCGGACUAACUCCGUGCCAGCAGCCGCGGU